rnacentral:rRNA from 1 species
UACGUAGGGGGCUAGCGUUGUCCGGAUUUAUUGGGCGUAAAGAGCGUGUAGGCGGCCAGGUAGGUCCGUUGUGAAAACUCGAGGCUCAACCUCGAGACGUCGGCGGAAACCCUCUGGCUAGAGUCCGGAAGAGGAGAGUGGAAUUCCUGGUGUAGCGGUGAAAUGCGCAGAUAUCAGGAAGAACACCCGUGGCGAAGGCGGCUCUCUGGGACGGUACUGACGCUGAGACGCGAAAGCGUGGGGAGCGAAACAGG